GCCCUAAACCUCAGUAGUUAGAUAACAAAACUACUCGCCAGAAUACUACGAGCUACAGCUUAAAACUCAAAGGACUUGACGGUGCUUUACACCCCCUAGAGGAGCCUGUUCCGUAAUCGAUAAACCCCGAUCCACCCCACCCUCUCUUGCUCAGCCUAUAUACCGCCAUCUUCAGCAAACCCCAAUGAAGGUCACAAAGUGAGCGCAAACGCCACCACCGCGAAUACGUUAGGUCAAGGUGUAGCCUAUGAGAUGGUAAAAAAUGGGCUACAUUUUCUACCUCAGAAAAUUCCACGAAAGCCCUUAUGAAAUUUAAGGACCCAAGGAGGAUUUAGCAGUAAAUUAAGAAUAGAGUGCUUAAUUGAACUAGGCCAUAAAGCGCGCACACACCGCCCGUCACUCCUCUCAAAUAUAUUUAAGGAACAUCCUAACUAAACGCCCUAAUAUUUAUAUAGAGAGGAUAAGUCGUAACAUGGUAAGCGUACUGGAAGGUGCGCUUGGAUAAAU
rnacentral:rRNA from 1 species